UAAAAAUUUGUGAUUAUCUGUGAAAUUAACAUAAAAUGAAUGUAUCCAUUUUUCUAGCUGGCGAUAAUAUUGAUCUGUGGAGUAUUUGAGUGGGUUCGCUGAGACGUGAAACUCCACGAUAGCCACUUCACACGCUAUCAUGAGCUAUACCAUCCUGAGACGCUGGACUAGUCUUCCUUAGUUUCUAGCUUCCAGUUUUGACCCAGGAGAGCCUCAAACACUCCGGACAAUUAUCAGAAGACAGAUGAGAGUCUUUGGAAAGCUCAGAGCUCUGGGAGUCAAAUAAAGCCUGCCCCAAAUGGAGAGGACCACACCACUCGCACGGCUAAGAUCAGAGCGCCUCGGAUCAUGAGAGCAGAAUCAUGUGUGCUCCUGCUUUGGGUACGUGAGAUCACGGGGCCGAUCUGCCCCAGCUGUAGGCCUGUCUGUCCUACUGGGCCUCCUCACUGUAGCUUCUGCUAGCAGGGGCCACGGUACAGAAGUGACGGGAGCUUCCUGGAAGGAGCAGAGGGCAAGUGCUUAGCCACCGGACCUGUUCUCAACCCAGUUGCUGCCUUCUCAAGGUCAGGGUCUGAAGAGAGGUCCCCUCUGAGGGUCAGCUGCGUCUGGAAGCAAGGUUACACUGCCUCUUAUGAAAUGGGAGAAGGUCAAGAGGGGAACCAGGUGCUCACAUAACUGGACACUGGUCUGCUUUUGGAAGCCAAUGCUGCAGUGAUGGGCAAGUGGCCUCCCUAGGGAUUUAUUGUUAGGCCAGAGAAAGUGGGGGCUCCCAGAGUUAGACUAGAGGGAGCAGUUAAACCAGAUGGUCAUGCCAAAAGUGAUGGGCUUGAAUAGUUACUUAACAGGAACUGUACUCUCAAAGAGAAGCAACUCGCAGUUCGAAUUCACUGGCUUGGGACGUUUCAUUUUCCUAGUGCUACGUGAAGACCAGGGGAAUCCCUUAAAGAAGGAAGCAACACAUUGUUAGGACUAUUUCCUAACGCAAGCUCCCCGCCGCAGCAAAAUUCCCAAUCAAGCCAAAUCAAAACAAGCCAAAUUAAGAAAUAUCCAGGUUUAAUGGGAGUUCUGCGCUCUUGGGUGGCCCCAAGGGGGAACCAGGAAGCCAUGCAAAAGCAAGGCAGAAAAAAAGGAGACCACAUGUUCCUCUUGUGGGGGCUCAUUUAAAUACCUGGGGUGUGGUCUUGACCCCACCCCCAGGGAGGGGUCAGGA